rnacentral:misc_RNA from 1 species
UCUCCGUUGGUGAACCAGCGGAGGGACCAUUAUCGAGUUUAUAACUCCCAAACCCUAUGUGAACUUACCACUUGUUGCUUCGGCGCGCGCUUCGGUGCCGCCGAGGACACUUAAACUCUUUGUUUUUAUAAGCAUUUCUGAGUGGCCGAAAGGCAAAAUACAAAUGAAUCAAAACUUUCAACAACGGAUCUCUUGGUUCUGGCAUCAAGAAGAACGCAGC